rnacentral:rRNA from 1 species
AGCUAAUAGAUACCCAGGUAGUCCACGCCCUAAACGAUGUCGACUGGUUGUUGGGGUUUGACACUCUCAGUAAACGAAAGCUAAACGCGUGAAGUCGACCGCCUGGGGAGUACGGCCGCAAGGUUAAAACUCAAAGGAAUUGACGGGGACCCGCACAAGCGGUGGAUUAUGUGGAUUAAUUCGAUGCAACGCGAAAAACCUUACCUACCCUUGACAUGUCCGGGUAGCCGUGCUGAGAGGCGGGUGUGCCCGAAAGGGUACCGGAACACAGGUGCUGCAUGGCUGUCGUCAGCUCGUGUCGUGAGAUGUU